ensembl:lncRNA
AUUUCCACAGGGUUCAGGCCCUUCGGUCACUCAAUGGGUUUAACGUGUUAAUGAGUAUGUCUCUGCACAUCGUCUGCAGUGUUUAAUCCUUGGGAGCGACUGACCUUGUUUCUCAAAGUAAGACGGCGGAUAUAACUGAGCAAAUUUUCACGAGUGUCUCUGUUUUUUCUCUCUGUGGGAGCACCGUUUUCCGUCUCAACGUGGGUCCUUUGUCUUCGUCUCUUGUAAUCGGGAGAACAUGGGGAACACCAUCACUGCAUGCCAGAUGAGCAACUACAGCGGCAAGAACGUCCGGGUUUUCGUCACGGAAAAGGCUCUGGAGAUUGACGCCUUCAUCACCUCCCAGUCUGGUGGUGAUGAUAAGAUCGUGUCUGUGCUUCCCGGAGGUAAAAAGUUCAGCUUCAGGAAAGACGUGAACUGUGUGCGUGUGCUGGCCUCUCAGACUCAGGAAGUGUCCUGGGAGCCUCAACACUUUCUGUCCGUCUUUGUGGAGGAUGAAGACGAUGAAAACAUCUGCUGCAAACAAGUCAUACACAACAUGGCCCUGAGCUCUCCAGUCACUGUGCUGCUCUAUGAUGUGUAGAGUAAGUCAUUGUUGUCUGCACACUUACAGAUGGAGAGCAGUUAUUUUAUUGUCAGGAGAAAAUGACCUAAAACAUUUUCAAUGAUAGAAUUCAUUCUGCUGUUAUAUCUUGUGAUGCCUCCAAUAAAAGUGUCGC